CCUGCAGAAGCCAGGGAGCCUAGUUCACGGGCAGUAGCAGGCUGCUGUGUGGUUAGCACCGUAGACACUCAGCAGAGGAGAGCUGCACCGCAAAGAAAACUGGUGGAUCUAUAUUCUGAAGACAUCUUUCCCCACUUCUCCUCACGGCUGGGGAAGGUAAGGGAGAAGCUUCUCUCUGCAGCUAGUGAACAAGGUUCUAGCUCACCUGAUCCCCUGAAGAUGUUCCUCACCUGGGUCUCAGUAUUUGCAAUAUUUUCCACUCUCGAACAGACCUAUGGAAAUUCGGUGACACAAACUGAAGGCACCAUUACGGUCCGCGAAGGAAAACCGGUGCUUCUGAAUUGCAGCUAUAAAAUAUCCGGGUCUCCAGUGCCCUUCUGGUACGUGCAGUAUCCACACGAAGCCCCUCGCCUCUUGCUGGCAGAGUAUGAGGCAACAGAUGAGGAGGAGAGAAAGCGCAGGAGAGGCUUUUCUGCUAAACAGGAGAGAAACCCAACAUCCUUCCAUCUAAAUAAAAACUCCAGCGAAAUCAGCGACUCUGCUCUCUAUUUCUGUGCCGUAAAACCAGACAUUGCCCCUUUCCCCAGGGGGACAAAAUUUCAAAGGCUGGGGGUGUUCAGACUGGAAAAGAAAGAAGAAGUGAUUCUAAAUCUCUUUCCAUAA